rnacentral:lncRNA from 1 species
GGGCGGUGGUGGGUAGGAUUUUAGGAUACAAAAUCUGUCAGUACUUUUGGGAUGGGGGUGGACGCUUUUUUUCCUGUCACACGGACCUGGGAGGCUUUGGUUUAGGGAAUAACAGCGUUUAGUUCUGCGUGGGUCAAAUUAAGUUAGAACCAAAGCUAGAGUAGGGCCUGGUGUGGUAGCUGGUGUACGCCCUUAAUCCCAGCAUUCGGGAGCUGAGGCAUGCUGAUCUCUAUGAGGAAACUGAGGCCCAGAGAGGUUAAGUGUAUUGGCCAAAGUCAAACAGCUAGUAAGUGAUGGAGCCAGGACUCAAACUCAGCUUAGGAGCCAUGUCCACCUUGUUCCCUUCACUCUUUCCUCGUGUGACUGAGACACUGUGGUUUAAUCUGGAUCGACCCUGUGUGGAGGAGACAGAGCUGCAGCAGCAGGAGCAGCAGCAUCAGGCCUGGCUCCAAAGCAUCGCAGAGAAAGACAACAACCUGGUACCCAUCGGCAAGCCUGCCUCCGAGCACUAUGAUGACGAGGAAGAAGAGGAUGAUGAAGAUGACGAGGACAGUGAAGAGGAUUCAGAAGACGAUGAGGACAUGCAGGACAUGGAUGAGAUGAAUGACUAUAAUGAGUCACCUGAUGAUGGAGAGGUCAAUGAGGUGGACAUGGAAGGCAACGAACAGGAUCAGGACCAGUGGAUGAUCUAGGUAGAGCAGCCAAGGUGGCCUCAGACUGACUCCAGACCACCUCAGCCUAUUUUGCAUCCACAGCCUCAGCCCCUCAGCCUGCAGAACCAGCUUGUGGCCAUAGUGCCUAAAGCUUCCCUUAGGCACUUUGUCAGCUGCUGCCAGGACAAGGUCUCCUUGGGCCCUUCCAGGCCACCAGUCUUCCCUUGAAUCCCAAGAGCCUGAGCCCAUCCCACCUUCCUGGCUGGUACCUCACUCACUCCUUGGUUGCCAGGUGUGGUCCCUUUCUAUCCCUCUUUAAUAAAGACACAGGACUGAUUCUUUCCCCAA